UACGUAGGCAGCGAGCGUUGUUCGGAAUUAUUGGGCGUAAAGAGUGUGUAGGCGGCGCUCUAAGUUCGGUGUGAAAUCUCUCGGCUUAACUGGGAGGGUGCGCCGGAAACUGGAGUGCUCGAACGUGGGAGAGGAAAGCGGAAUUCCUGGUGUAGCGGUGAAAUGCGUAGAUAUCAGGAGGAACACCUGCGGUGUAGACGGCUUUCUGGACCAUUGUUGACGCUGAGACACGAAAGCGUGGGUAGCAAACAGG
rnacentral:rRNA from 1 species